AUGGCGCUUCGCACGUUCGCGUCGAGGACGAGGAGCGCCGCUCUCCAUCUGGCGGCGCCGGCGCCGAGGUUCUCGCCGCCGGCGAAGGGCUUCUCUACUUCGGCCGCCCCACGCGCCGUCUUCAGCAAGACCGCCUCACUUAACUACUCAAGCUGGAGUGCCGGAAGCAGCUUUGCCAACACUGCUGUUCAGCAGGCGCUUGUGUACCCAAGCCCAGCCACCAGUGCGGCAAGCAGCCUCGUUAGCGCUGCUCGUGUUCAGCAGGCACGGUACUACUCAGCCGGUGCUGUGGUGAUCGACGAGGAGACUGUCCAAGUGCUAAUCACCGGGGUGGCCAAGUGUAAUUCAGUGGCAAGCAAAUGCCUUGCGGAGAUCCAUACGGUGCAGGAUCUGCAAAUCAUCACCCUCAUUGUCAUUUUGUCUGGUAUUGCGGGGGCCUGGUAUGUUGGACAGCAAGUAAUUGAUCGAGGGUCUGAGAUCCUGGGCCAGGUGCAAAAGCAUGCCCCGGAAAUCUUGGGCGCCGUCUGCGACGAGAUGGUGUACCAGCUGAAGAUACCCUUCCUUGGCAGCGGGAGGCGCCUCGUCUUGCAAGACCAUUGGUUCAAUGACCCGGAGAAGUCGCUGACGAGGUAUGAGCAGAGGAUGAGGCGUGAGGCUGCGAGGCAAGAGAUGGACCGGCUUCGACUCGAGGAAUUCAAUCGCGCCCAGGAGGAGAAGAAGCGCGAGGCUGCGCAAAUGUACGAGCAGUCCUUGGCAAGGAAACGAGUCAACGACCAGCUGCUCAAGGACAAGCUUCGUGAGGAGAGGAUACGGCAGUUGACGGGACAGUAG
rnacentral:rRNA from 1 species